AAACUUUCAACAACGGAUCUCUUGGUUCUGGCAUCGAUGAAGAACGCAGCAAAAUGCGAUAAGUAAUGUGAAUUGCAGAAUUCAGUGAAUCAUCGAAUUUUUGAACGCACAUUGCGCCCGCUGGUAUUCCCGCGGGCAUGCCUGUUCNANCGNNAUU
rnacentral:rRNA from 1 species